rnacentral:rRNA from 1 species
UUGAACGCUGGCGGCAUGCUUUACACAUGCAAGUCGGACGGCAGCACAGAGAAGCUUGCUUCUUGGGUGGCGAGUGGCGAACGGGUGAGUAAUAUAUCGGAACGUACCGAGUAAUGGGGGAUAACUAAUCGAAAGAUUAGCUAAUACCGCAUAUUCUCUGAGGAGGAAAGCAGGGGACCUUCGGGCCUUGCGUUAUUCGAGCGGCCGAUAUCUGAUUAGCUAGUUGGUGGGGUAAAGGCCUACCAAGGCGACGAUCAGUAGCGGGUCUGAGAGGAUGAUCCGCCACACUGGGACUGAGACACGGCCCAGACUCCUACGGGAGGCAGCAGUGGGGAAUUUUGGACAAUGGGCGCAAGCCUGAUCCAGCCAUGCCGCGUGUCUGAAGAAGGCCUUCGGGUUGUAAAGGACUUUUGUCAGGGAAGAAAAGGCUGUUGCUAAUACCGACAGCUGAUGACGGUACCUGAAGAAUAAGCACCGGCUAACUACGUG